rnacentral:rRNA from 1 species
UGAGUACGAGAUGCUACGGCAUUGAAGCAGUCUAUGUCAUACUUCCAAGAAAAGCUUGCACUGUCAUAAACAAAGAAUGCCUGUACCAUAACCGACACAGGUGGGUAGGUAGAGUAUACUAAGGGGCGCGAGAUAACUCUCUCUAAGGAACUCGGCAAAAUGACUCCGUAACUUCGGGAGAAGGAGUGCCUUAUUUUUAAGGUUGCAAUAACAAGAUCCAAGCAACUGUUUAUCAAAAACACAGGUCUCCGCUAAGUCGUAAGACGAUGUAUGGGGGCUGACGCCUGCCCAGUGCCAGAAGGUUAAAGAAGUUGGUUAGCAUUCGCGAAGCUGAUAACUGAAGCCCUGGUGAACGGCGGCCGUAACUAUAACGGUCCUAAGGUAGCGAAAUUCCUUGUCGGGUAAGUUCCGACCCGCACGAAGGCGUAAUGAUUUGGAUACUGUCUCGGAGAGGGACUCGGUGAAAUAGACUUGUCUGUGAAGAUGCGGACUACCUGCACCUGGACAGAAAGACCCUAUGAAGCUUUACUGUAACUUGAAAUUGAAAUUGGACUUUAGUUGCGCAGGAUAGGUGGGAGGCGUUGAGAAUAUUCUUGCGGGAGUAUUGGAGCCAUCAGUGAGAUACCACUCUUCUAAUGUUAGAUUUCUAACUUUGUAUCAUUAUCUGGUCAAAGAACAGUUUCAGGCGGGCAGUUUGACUGGGGCGGUCGCCUCCUAAAGGGUAACGGAGGCGCACAAAGGUUUCCUCUGAACGAGUAGAAAUCGUAUCUAGAGUGUAAAGGCAUAAGGAAGCUUGACUGUGAGACCUACAAGUCGAGCAGGGACGAAAGUCGGUCUUAGUGAUCUGACGGUGCUGAGUGGAUAGGCCGUCACUCAACGGAUAAAAGUUACUCUAAGGAUAACAGGCUGAUCUCCCCCAAGAGUUCACAUCGACGGGGAGGUUUGGCACCUCGAUGUCGGCUCAUCGCAUCCUGGGGCGGUAGUACGUCCCAAGGGUUGGGCUGUUCGCCCAUGAAAGCGGUACGCGAGCUGGGUUCAGAACGUCGUGAGACAGUUCGGUCCAUAUCCGGUGUAGGCGUUAGAAUAUUGAGAGGAGCCUUCUCUAGUACGAGAGGACCGAGAAGGACAUACCUCUAGUGUACCAGUUAUCGUGCCAACGGUAAACGCUGGGUAGCUAUGUAUGGAGUGGAUAACCGCUGAAAGCAUCUAAGUGGGAAGCCCACCUCAAGAUAAGUAUUCU